rnacentral:rRNA from 1 species
AUUGAACGCUGGCGGCAGGCCUAACACAUGCAAGUCGAGCGAGCGGCGGACGGGUGAGUAAGGGCUGGGAAACUGCGGGAUGGAGGGGGAUAACUACGGGAAACGAUAGCGAAAAACGCAUACCAUGGGAUGUGCCGAGAUGGGGUUAGCUAGUAGGUGGGGUAACGGCUCACCUAGGCGACGAUCCCUAGCUGGUCUGAGAGGAUGACCAGCCACACUGGAACUGAGACACGGUCCAGACUCCUACGGGAGGCAGCAGUGGGGAAUAUUGCGCAAUGGGCGCAAGCCUGAUGCAGCCAUGCCGCGUGUAUGAAGAAGGCCUUCGGGUUGUAAAGUACUUUCAUCGGGGAGGCGUUACCCACAGAAGAAGCACCGGCUAACUCCGUGCCAGCAGCCGCGGUAAUAC